GACGAACGCUGGCGGCGUGCCUAAUACAUGCAAGUAGAACGCUGAAGGAGGAGCUUGCUUCUCUGGAUGAGUUGCGAACGGGUGAGUAACGCGUAGGUAACCUGCCUGGUAGCGGGGGAUAACUAUUGGAAACGAUAGCUAAUACCGCAUAAUAGCAGUUGUUGCAUGACAACUGUUUGAAAGGUGCAAUUGCACCACUACCAGAUGGACCUGCGUUGUAUUAGCUAGUUGGUGGGGUAACGGCUCACCAAGGCGACGAUACAUAGCCGACCUGAGAGGGUGAUCGGCCACACUGGGACUGAGACACGGCCCAGACUCCUACGGGAGGCAGCAGUAGGGAAUCUUCGGCAAUGGACGGAAGUCUGACCGAGCAACGCCGCGUGAGUGAAGAAGGUCUUCGGAUCGUAAAGCUCUGUUGUAAGAGAAGAACGAGUGUGAGAGUGGAAAGUUCACACUGUGACGGUAUCUUACCAGAAAGGGACGGCUAACUACGUG
rnacentral:rRNA from 1 species